rnacentral:lncRNA from 1 species
AGUCCUUCGCCGUCCCUCGCCGUCCUUCGCCAUCGCACGCCACCGCACCCCAUCUCUCGAAAUCUGCAGACAUCUUGAUUUUUCCCACGCUGUCUGUCAGGUCUCCGCCGCCACUCGACGCCAGGGCGCCGGGCCUUGUGGGCUGUGCUGCACCUCGGACGGCUUCGCACCAGCCAGCGCCCUCUCUCUCCUGCAGCACUCUGAUCUGCACCCCCUGAGGGGCUUCCACUGUCCGCGGGGUGAGAAUGCCCCUGGGAGUGUCACAUGACUGCCGCCCCAUGUGUGUGAGAGGCGUCCUCUGGGAGAGCAUGGAUCCUGAGGUCCCAGGAACAUCCCGAGAGCCAAGUUCCCAGAUGCCAGCCAAGGGCCAUCUGACCUGUUUUGAAUCUCAAUUUCCUGAUACAGAAAACAAAGGAUUGUCAGCUGACCUCUGUCCUGUGUGCCCAGUGGCCCCAGGUGACGUGUCUUCAAGAAGAGGCUGAGCUGCGGUGCUUGUAAGGGUCUCAUUCUGUCACCCAGGCUGGAGUGCAGUGGUGCAAUGAUGGCUCACUGCAGCCUCGACCUGGGCUCAAGUGAUCCUCCACCUCAGCUUCCUGAGUAGCUGGGACCACAGAGUCAUGUGCUGUUCCUGGGGCUUGGAUGAUGUAGGGGAAGCAAGGUGAAAGUGGUAUCCCGUGGUUCCACGUUCUGUCCUGCUGUGGGGCUGUCCCUCACAUGCUUUCAGUGGCUGUUGCAGAGGAAGAGCCUCCGGAAAUCUGCGUGGGUAAAGUCUCAGCCUUAGAUCCAAGGACAGUCCAAGGAAGUCCUAAGACCAUGGAGUUGGUGAUCUGGGAUCUGGGUUUGCUGAUAUUUCUCACCGUGAAUCUCUUGGUGGUGUUUGUGGGCACGAGAGGGGCAGAGAAUGGAGAGUGAGGCUACCACAUGAAGCGUCACCAGAGCUGCUCCCUGCUGCCUGCUCAGAGCACCCCGGAUCCACUGUUCAAUCUGCACAAGAUUCGGGGUCCAGACAUGGGAGACUUCAGCUGCCUCAGAGGACCGUGGACAGGGAAGGCCAGCCUCGCAUCCCUCUGUCCAUGCCUGGAAUGACUUUAAUAACCAAGAGUUUUAUUUUUGAAUUUGUAGCUGUCGUUCACUUUUUACCCACCCAUUCAAUAAACCUUACAGAAUUGCUCCA